AGAGUUUGAUCCUGGCUCAGGAUGAACGCUAGCGACAGGCUUAACACAUGCAAGUCGAGGGGCAGCAUGAUUUGUAGCAAUACAGAUUGAUGGCGACCGGCGCACGGGUGAGUAACGCGUAUGCAACUUACCUAUCAGAGGGGGAUAGCCCGGCGAAAGUCGGAUUAAUACCCCAUAAAACAGGGGUCCCGCAUGGGAAUAUUUGUUAAAGAUUCAUCGCUGAUAGAUAGGCAUGCGUUCCAUUAGGCAGUUGGCGGGGUAACGGCCCACCAAACCGACGAUGGAUAGGGGUUCUGAGAGGAAGGUCCCCCACAUUGGUACUGAGACACGGACCAAACUCCUACGGGAGGCAGCAGUGAGGAAUAUUGGUCAAUGGCCGAGAGGCUGAACCAGCCAAGUCGCGUGAAGGAAGAAGGAUCUAUGGUUUGUAAACUUCUUUUAUAGGGGAAUAAAGUGGAGGACGUGUCCUUUUUUGUAUGUACCCUAUGAAUAAGCAUCGGCUAACUCCGUGCCAGCAGCCGCGGUAAUACGGAGGAUGCGAGCGUUAUCCGGAUUUAUUGGGUUUAAAGGGUGCGUAGGUGGUGAUUUAAGUCAGCGGUGAAAGUUUGUGGCUCAACCAUAAAAUUGCCGUUGAAACUGGGUUACUUGAGUGUGUUUGAGGUAGGCGGAAUGCGUGGUGUAGCGGUGAAAUGCAUAGAUAUCACGCAGAACCCCGAUUGCGAAGGCAGCCUGCUAGGGUGAAACAGACGCUGAGGCACGAAAGCGUGGGUAUCGAACAGGAUUAGAUACCCUGGUAGUCCACGCAGUAAACGAUGAAUACUAACUGUUUGCGAUACAAUGUAAGCGGUACAGCGAAAGCGUUAAGUAUUCCACCUGGGGAGUACGCCGGCAACGGUGAAACUCAA
rnacentral:rRNA from 1 species